GCCAGAGAAUUUGCUGGCUCUCUCUCCAUCAUGUGAGGACAACAGCGAGAAGGCAACCUUUUGCAAGCUGUGAAGAGAAGCUUCAUCAGAACCUGACCAUGCAGGCUCUUUCAGUCUCCAGAACUGUGAGAAAGCUUCUGUGUCUUUGUAAAUGCCAUUUCCAUUCUCUGGACCACCUUUCUGUUUGUUACUUUUGAUAUUAUGCUUCUCCAAAUUGAGCAUGAGGAAGGUGAGCAUGGUGAACUUAGAUGCCACAUGAUGAAGAGCUGGAGUCACAGAGCAGAAGUCUGGAUCCCUAGAUGUUGUUUGGAGGAGAGCUGAGAAACAAACAGUGUGUGUUCAACUUUAAAC